UGCUUCUUGGGUGGCGAGUGGCGAACGGGUGAGUAAUAUAUCGGAACGUACCGAGUAAUGGGGGAUAACUAAUCGAAAGAUUAGCUAAUACCGCAUAUUCUCUGAGGAGGAAAGCAGGGGACCUUCGGGCCUUGCGUUAUUCGAGCGGCCGAUAUCUGAUUAGCUAGUUGGUGGGGUAAAGGCCUACCAAGGCGACGAUCAGUAGCGGGUCUGAGAGGAUGAUCCGCCACACUGGGACUGAGACACGGCCCAGACUCCUACGGGAGGCAGCAGUGGGGAAUUUUGGACAAUGGGCGCAAGCCUGAUCCAGCCAUGCCGCGUGUCUGAAGAAGGCCUUCGGGUUGUAAAGGACUUUUGUCAGGGAAGAAAAGGCUGUUGCUAAUAUCGACAGCUGAUGACGGUACCUGAAGAAUAAGCACCGGCUAACUACGUGCCAGCAGCCGCGGUAAUACGUAGGGUGCGAGCGUCAAUCGGAAUUACUGGGCGUAAAGCGAGCGCAGACGGUUACUUAAGCAGGAUGUGAAAUCCCCGGGCUCAACCUGGGAACUGCGUUCUGAACUGGGUGACUAGAGUGUGUCAGAGGGAGGUAGAAUUCCACGUGUAGCAGUGAAAUGCGUAGAGAUGUGGAGGAAUACCGAUGGCGAAGGCAGCCUCCUGGGAUAACACUGACGUUCAUGCUCGAAAGCGUGGGUAGCAAACAGGAUUAGAUACCCUGGUAGUCCACGCCCUAAACGAUGUCAAUUAGCUGUUGGGCAACUUGAUUGCUUAGUAGCGUAGCUAACGCGUGAAAUUGA
rnacentral:rRNA from 1 species